CCCGCCCGGCUCCCCACGGCGGCGGCGGGCGGGUGGUGCGACACCCUGCAGCGCCCCGGGGCCCCCCGCGGCCCCCCGGGAGCCCCCCGCGCCCUCUGCCUCACACGGACCCCCGGGAGCCCCCCAGCUGUCCAGCGGCGUCCCUUCCCGCCGUUUCCCUCAGCAGGGGCGAGGAUGCGGGGGGCGACGCUCCCCUCCGGGCCCCGGCGCUCCCGCCGUGGGUGAGGAGAAGGGCGGGGGGCUCCCCGGCGCUGCCCGUGUGCCCCGUGGUGGGCACUGAAGGCCGGGAGCAGGCCGGCCUCGUGUGCCUGUGGGGCCAGCACCUGCCAUCGUGGCAAAGAGCAGCUUCCCUCGUCCUCCUCAUCCUCCUCCUCGGGCGGGCACCCCUCGUCCCGCCGCAGGGGAGCAGAGGCACGCGUGGCCUUCGACGGUCGUGGCCUCCAUUCGGGGCGCAAGGGCCAGGGCAGCCCCUCGGGCGGCGUGGCUGCCCUCGGCCCACCCGCAGGCCGUGGCGCGGCGUGGGCUUCGCUCCCUACUGCCGUGCCCAGGGGCUGCUGCUGAGCUCUGUGACUGGUACCAGGUGUGUCUGAAAAGCCGUCCCGCUCUUCUGCCCUCUUGGAUUUCUGAAUGGCAAUAGGGUUCCUUCCCUGGAGAGCUGAUGUCAUAAAUUGAGAAGUUACUGAAAAACGAAGUGGAGGGCCCAACAUGCAAGAGGCGUAUCAACACCCUCACUCCCAAUUGACCCAUUAGCAUCAGAUGGGGCAGGUGAAGGUAGCGCUACUGCCAUUAUGUUUCUUCUAAAUUACAAUAAUCCUUUGAGAUAGAGACUGAUGGCUGAGGUGUUGCUAGCUCCAGCAGCUUUAUCAUGAGCACGGUGUUGUCCACAUUUUCCCAGAGAGCCCAGCUAACAGGAAAGACAAGAUUACAGGAGAAUCUCUGAUUUAAUUUUUGUAAAUUAGUUUCUCAUGAUGUGGGCUGCAAAGAAAAGCUGAACAAGGGACCCCUGAAGACUCAAAACCAGAAGGCAGAUUAAAACAAUUCCAAAUAGGUUACAAUUUAAAACCCCAUUAUUUUUACUUGACCUCAUUCAUUCUAAUACACGGAGCUGGGAGUUACCAAAACUGGGUUAGGUUUCCGAAGGAAUCGUAGGCAUGGCUCUGCUGAGACAUCUUGGUCCCUACUGCCAUGCACAAUCGCAGGCUGCAGCCGUGGGGACCCUGUUGCCACGCGUGGGAGAUGUGGAGGUCUACAGCUGGACUGAGGAAACCCUGAACAGCCCAUUGAGCAGGUGGCAGAAGGAGCUGGGACUGAGGUGCCGCUAAAGCCCCAUCCCUCGGGGAAUCUGGGAUCUGUAGCUCGCCCCGGAGGACUCACAGUUGGAGUUAGGCACCAAGGUCUGUUCUCUCAAAAGGAAGCGAACACGGAGCUGAGGAACUGGCUUCGUAACCCUGACACUUGAGACACUUGGGGCAGCAGAGAUGUUCCCUGGAGAUUCACACAGAUGAUUAACGCGGCCAGACCGACUCAGCAACACAUCUACACGUGCCUAGCUGCAAAGAUGUACGGAAGCUUAAUGGUUUUAAUGUGACGCGCAACACAACUGAACAUGGAGCACGUGGAGGAGAGGCUGGCCACGGCGAAGCAGGCUGCUGCAUUGCUGCUGACCGCGCUGGUGCUGCCACUCCGAGCACACGUGGGGAGGUGGGGAGAACCCCACGGGUGGGGACUGAGGAUCAGCAGCCACAGCUGCUGCCAGCUCCCAUCCAUACUGUAUUACUGCAUGCGGCUUUGGGAGUAAGUGCCAGAAACGCCAACAGCCUAUAGCGCAACAAUGUAUGAUGCAGCAGAUAAAAUGACUCACAGGUCUCCCCUGCAGCGAUGUUCACAGCCUACAUAUUUUCAGGGCAGAAGGCUGCAGAACUUUGAAUUGUCUCAGUCUCCAUCAAACUCCUGCCUUUUAAGAGUCCUUGGCUUUCCACAAGUCAAAUUACAAGUAACGAGUCCACAGACAUUCAGUCCUGGUCAUCCUGCAUGCAUUAGUCCAGGAGGAAUAAUGUCCCUCCCUCGCAAAGCUUUCUGCAGGGGCAGGUGGAUGCAAUUGGGUUUUAACCCUUGCUUUCUCCUGUGAGUUUUGUAACCUUACUAUUUACAUCACACUGCUGGAUUUCUUGGCAGCCUCUCUGCCUCCUCUUCAGUCGAAGCAGGAAGGAACAUCCUGUUGUCAUCACCCAAGAGGACCAGCAGGCAGAGAUGUAAACAGAUUGGCCAGUCCAGACACAAGGUGAUGGUGAAAAUAGGGCAAUGAAGUUGAGACUAUCAAGACCUUACGAGCAUUGGUACGCAGUAACUUAGUACUGCCGUUGCUGGGGAUCUUACUGGAAGCCAAGAGCAGGCUGCGGCACCACCCCUUUCAGUUGCUCCACACAAGGGAAUUCCUGCAGGAACUUCUCUUCAAAGGCACCUGAAGACGCUCGCCAGUAAACACCACCCAGCCAACAAAUAUUAGAUGCAAACAAACGCCGGGGCUGCACAGAAAUUCUAAGAGAAUUCUGGGGCUCAAACCUUAGGGCAAGUCAGAUUUUAGUACUGACGUAACUUGAACUCAAUUAGGACUUGCAAAAUUAAUAUACUGGUGAGAGCGUAUUGAAGAAAAGCUGUUCUGCUAGCUGUUUCUUUCCCAUAGGAUAGAGUGGGUGAAUUUAAAGGAUGAAAGAGCAAGGAAAAAAAUUGGGAAAGAUGUAGGAAAUGUUCAGUGAGACAAGGCAAAUGUUUGAUUUAUAACUUGCCUGAAUUUAGGGAGAGACUAAAAGUCAGGAAUAAAGAGGCCAGACUUUACCUGCUUUACACAAUACAUAAUGUCAGUAGGAAAUAUUGUGGAGUAAAAUCAAAGGAAAAUCAUUAAACUGUAUAAUUUUUCCCAA